ACGGGAGGCAGCAGUGGGGGAUAUUGCACAAUGGGGGAAACCCUGAUGCAGCGACGCCGCGUGAGUGAAGAAGUAUUUCGGUAUGUAAAGCUCUAUCAGCAGGGAAGAAAAUGACGGUACCUGACUAAGAAGCUCCGGCUAAAUACGUGCCAGCAGCCGCGGUAAUACGGAGGAUGCAAGCGUUAUCCGGAUUUAUUGGGUUUAAAGGGUGCGUAGGCGGACUGACAAGUCAGGGGUGAAAGCCCGGUGCUCAACACCGGAACUGCCCUUGAUACUGCCAGCCUUGAAUUCGGAUGCCGUGGGAGGAAUGAGUAGUGUAGCGGUGAAAUGCAUAGAUAUUACUCAGAACACCGAUUGCGAAGGCAUCUCACGAAUCCGACAUUGACGCUGAGGCACGAAAGCGUGGGGAUCAAACAGGAUUAGAUACCCUGGUA
rnacentral:rRNA from 1 species